rnacentral:lncRNA from 1 species
AUUUCCUGUUUUAGUUUGAACAAUACCUUUCUAUAUAUAACAUACACACCACACUCACUAUGUAUUUCGUUUUCCGUGAUAACAUCGUAUACGUUUUAACUUCUAGAUUUUUGUAAAGGAACGACAAUUUAACUUCAGGUGGCAUAGGAGAGAACAAAACCCAAAUAUAUGAUGUUUCAAAUCAACACAGGAGUCAAACAUACUGAUUCAGGAGGAAUUAUUGAAUUGCCAACUCUUUUUAGAGUUAAUCUGACUGAAAGAAACAGUUUAAGCACCAAAUCAUGAAAAAUGAUACUAAAAGUCUAUUCCACAUUAAGCGUUUCCAGAUUAUGAAGGCAAGACAGCAAGACUCUUUAGAUGGCAGUUAGCUAUUAUUCUAAAAUCUUUUUGGCAGUACAUGUACUAGAAUAUAUCUCUAAGUUGACUGGUUGUCUAUUUCUCAUGUAUGCAUUAAGUUAAAUUAUGUCCCCUUACAUAAUCAGUAUACCUUUAUUGUGCUUUUCAUUGUCAGAAAAUCAAAACAAUUAAUAACAUUUGCAGGGAAA